rnacentral:tRNA from 1 species
UCCAAGGUGGCUCAGUGGUAAAGAAUCUGCCUGCCAAGCAAGAGACGAGGGUUUAAUCCCUUGCCCAGGAA